ACAUGCUUACAACAUAGCGUUAAUGCACUAGAUCCCAUUAGAACUUUGCAUUUAAUCAUGCUCGGGCUAGAGUAGUACUGGGAUGGGUGACUACCUAUGAAGUCCUAGUGUUUUACAUGCC
rnacentral:rRNA from 1 species